rnacentral:rRNA from 1 species
GAUGAACGCUGGCGGCGUGCCUAAUACAUGCAAGUCGAACGAAACUUCUUUAUCACCGAGUGCUUGCACUCACCGAUAAAGAGUUGAGUGGCGAACGGGUGAGUAACACGUGGGCAACCUGCCCAAAAGAGGGGGAUAACACUUGGAAACAGGUGCUAAUACCGCAUAACCAUAGUUACCGCAUGGUAACUAUGUAAAAGGUGGCUAUACUACCGCUUUUGGAUGGGCCCGCGGCGCAUUAGCUAGUUGGUAGGGUAAAGGCUUACCAAGGCAAUGAUGCGUAGCCGAAUUGAGAGGUUGAUCGGCCACAUUGGGACUGAGACACGGCCCAAACUCCUACGGGAGGCAGCAGUAGGGAAUCUUCCACAAAGGGCGAAAGCCUGAUGGAGCAACGCCGCGUGGGUGAAGAAGGUCUUCGGAUCGUAAAACCCUGUUGUUAGAGAAGAAAGUGCGUGAGAGUAACUGUUCACGUUUCGACGGUAUCUAACCAGAAAGCCACGGCUAACUACGUG